UACAGAGGGGGCAAGCGUUGUUCGGAAUUACUGGGCGUAAAGGGCGCGUAGGCGGCCGCCUAAGUCAGACGUGAAAUCCCUCGGCUCAACCGGGGAACUGCGUCUGAUACUGGGUGGCUUGAAUCCGGGAGAGGGAUGCGGAAUUCCAGGUGUGGCGGUGAAAUGCGUAGAUAUCUGGAGGAACACCGGUGGCGAAGGCGGCAUCCUGGACCGGCAUUGACGCUGAGGCGCGAAAGCCAGGGGAGCAAACGGG
rnacentral:rRNA from 1 species